rnacentral:rRNA from 1 species
AGCGAACGCUGGCGGCAGGCCUAACGCAUGCAAGUCGAACGAACUCUUCGGAGUUAGUGGCGGACGGGUGAGUAACACGUGGGAACGUGCCUUUUGGUUCGGAAUAACUCAGGGAAACUUGAGCUAAUACCGAAUGUGCCCUUCGGGGGAAAGAUUUAUCGCCAUUAGAGCGGCCCGCGUCUGAUUAGCUAGUUGGUGAGGUAACGGCUCACCAAGGCGACGAUCAGUAGCUGGUCUGAGAGGAUGACCAGCCACACUGGGACUGAGACACGGCCCAGACUCCUACGGGAGGCAGCAGUGGGGAAUCUUGCGCAAUGGGCGAAAGCCUGACGCAGCCAUGCCGCGUGAAUGAUGAAGGUCUUAGGAUUGUAAAAUUCUUCCACCGGGGACGAUAAUGACGGUACCCGGAGAAGAAGCCCCGGCUAACUUCGUG